CUUGAGUGAUGUUAAGCUAGUGGUUUUGCUUUUCUGAGCUGAUUUUUUUUGAACCUGUGGAAUGGGGAUAAUAAUUCCUGCAUUCUAGGGAUGUUUCAGGUAUUCGGAUGGGAUGAGGCACAUAAAAUUCUCAGUACAGCUCCCAAGAGCUUGUUAAAUGCAGCAUUUAUUAUUCAAAUGAUAACUGUCUUUAGAUAUUUCAAAAACUGUCACAUGUAAACCAGAACCAACUCAUCUGUGGCACGCUACCUGGCCGAACCAUUGAUGGACUUGAGAGGAAGGGAAGUUCAGGCUGGCUGGGAUGGAGAUUGCUCCAUUGGAGCCACUACAGUUUGGAGGAUCUUGUCUGAGUUGGAGAGAGCUCUUGCUGGAGCCCCAGCAGUGCAUUGAGAAGUCUUCAUCGCUGUGGCAUCUGAACAUCAGAUACUGCAGUGGGUUCUCUGGGAGGCAGCCUUUUUUCCUCAUCUCUGCUAACCCUUCAGAGGCUGGGAGUGGAUCACUGGGUCUCUGAGCAAGAAGGCUUCUUGGUCCGAGAGGUCUUUGCCUGCCGUUGGUUCUCUGUGCCCACUUCCAUCAGGAACUUGUCCCUUCCUCACCAGGGUCCCUGUGAACUCUUCUAGCCUCUUUGUGGUUCCUGCUUUCUAGAAAAGAAGCAGCAAAUUCAUCAUCCAUUCAUUCACUUAUUCAAUUCCCUCAUGAAUUCAAUUCAAAUUAAAUCAUUGAACUCCAACUGUGUCCCGUAAUUACUCUUCAAGGUACCUGAGAGAAAAUAGUGAAUAGCAACAAUUGAUUAGUUCCCAGGUUUCAUGGAACAGACAUUUUUGUGAGGUAAAAAGUACACAAGUAAAUGUAUAAAAGAGAUAAUUUCAAAGCAAAGUAAGUGUAGUGGGGGUGUGUAAGUGUGACGACAGAAGGAACUGGUGAGGAGGUGGAGAAUAGGGUGGCCAGGAGGCUUUCCUCAGGAAUACAGCACUUGAGCUGAGGCCUGAAGGAUGCAAACAGCAAGAGGAAAGAUAAGGACAAGAGGCUUGAGCUGGGAAAAAGGUGAUGUGUCCAAGGACCUGGAAGGACACCAGCAUGGCCAGGAUGUAUUGUUGAGAAGAGUGGAUCAGGAGGCUGGGAAGCUGGAGCUCGCCUGAUGAGGCACACGGAGGAGACAGCUGGAUUGACAGCAAGGGUGAGAAGGCCUUGGCUGCUGAUGUUGGCUUUGAAAAUGGAAACCAAGGGCCAAAGAGUGUGGGCAGCCCCUGGCCCCUGAAGAGCACCAGGAAGCAGAUGUUCCUGGGAGCCUCCAGAAAGGAAUGUACGCCUGCCUGAGCUCCCUGAUUUCUGCCUGGUGAGACCCACCAGGGACUUAGGAACUGCAGAAUUGCAAGAUAAUAAAUCUGUGUUGUUUUAAGCCAA